rnacentral:lncRNA from 1 species
AAAAAACGAACUGAAAAAUAAUUGUAUUUUUAAGAAAUGCAGUUUUUAAAAUAUUCCUUGCACCGCCUGUCCAGUGCUUUUAACAAUCACACUGGGAGAGAACUCCUCCACUAUUAAAUGCAAACUCUCUUUUUGCCACUUGCAUUUAUAAAGGUUUUAAUGGUCAUUGUUGAUGCGGGAUCGGUGAGCCGAGGAGUCGAAAGAAAGAUUUCUUAGACUCUCAAGAUCUGGCAGUAGUGCUCUUUUAUUUAGAAAAUAGUGUGGAAUAGCAUGGGGACAGGACCCAUGGGCAGUCAGAGCUUCUGCUGCCGCCGCUUCUGCUGCCCCCGCUGGCAUGGGGACAGAGCCCAUGGGCAGGCAGAGCCGCUGCUGCUGCCCCCGCUGGCAUGGGGACAGGACCCAUGGGCAGGCAGAGCUGGUGCGUGGGGACAGGACCCACGGGCAGUCAGAGCUCCUGCUGCUGCCCCGAGUUGAGGGUUAGGGCUAAAUUUAAGGCAUAGGUAUAUGAUUCAUCUCUUUACAAGACAAAGGAAAGAACAUGAAAAAAAGUUAAAAUGGUAUCAGUGCGGGUGGGGUCUGGUCAUUGGGUGAUCCCAUGACUUUUAGACAAGAAUCAAAUCGGAUUAAGUAAAGGUCAGAAGCCACCACCCUAAAUCAGUUACAUGAGAUUGCCAGACAGCAACCAACUUAAGUUCUUGCCUUCCCCAUUAAGAGUUUCUAGGGAUAAGGUCAUCUCUCUUCUUCUUCCUGGUACAGAGAGGGAGGCACCUUUUACAGAUAGAGAUUUACCUUACAAAUGUAAAUGUGU